CCUACGGGAGGCAGCAGUGAGGAAUAUUGGUCAAUGGACGGGAGUCUGAACCAGCCAAGUAGCGUGAAGGAGGACUGCACUAUGGAUUGUAAACUUCUUUUAUCAGGGAAUAAAACGAGGCACGUGUGCCUUUUUGCAUGUACUUUAUGAAUAAGGAUCGGCUAACUCCGUGCCAGCAGCCGCGGUAAUACGGAGGAUCCGAGCGUUAUCCGGAUUUAUUGGGUUUAAAGGGAGCGUAGGUGGGUUGUUAAGUCAGGUGUGAAAGUUUGCGGCUCAACCGUAAAAUUGCAAUUGAUACUGGCAGUCUCGAGUACAGUUGAGGUAUGCGGAAUGCGCGGUGUAGCGGUGAAAUGCUUAGAUAUCACGCAGAACCCCGAUUGCGAAGGCAGCAUACCAACUCGAGACUGACAUUGAUGCACGAAAGUGUGGGUAUCAAACAGGAUUAGAUACCCCAGUAGUC
rnacentral:rRNA from 1 species